rnacentral:snoRNA from 1 species
AGCCUCGUUCUCAAGGAGAUCGGGCACUGUGGGUCAUGGCGCCCAGAAAUCGUUAAAGGGGCUAAAUUGAGACACAGGUUAUACGUCCGUCACAGCAAAUGUAUUGCAGUGGUGACAAUGAGACCUGUAUCGUCU